AUACUUCAUGAAACGGCAAUUCAGCUGCUGCUCUACAUGCCCACAACAAUAUUAAAUUUAUUUUUUAUGAGGGAGGGGUCACCACACUAGCUUGCUAUUAGGCCUCUCAUGUGUCGCCUAUGCACUACCGCCUAGGCCGGCGCACCCCAA
rnacentral:snRNA from 9 species